rnacentral:rRNA from 1 species
UACGGAGGGUGCAAGCGUUAUCCGGAUUCACUGGGUUUAAAGGGUGCGUAGGAGGGCAGGUAAGUCAGUGGUGAAAUCUCCGGGCUUAACUCGGAAACUGCCGUUGAUACUAUCUGCCUUGAAUACCGUGGAGGUGAGCGGAAUAUGUCAUGUAGCGGUGAAAUGCUUAGAUAUGACAUAGAACACCAAUUGCGAAGGCAGCUCGCUACACGAAUAUUGACUCUGAGGCACGAAAGCGUGGGGAUCAAACAGG